rnacentral:rRNA from 1 species
GGUAGCUUACCAAGCCGGCCACUUGGUAGUUGAAGCGCAAUCCGCCAAAUUAUAGUUUGAAUUUGCAGUCGGAUGUAUACACUGUGGAUUUGAGUUGGAAGCAUUGUGUAUUGGCGACUGCUACCAGUCAGCCGGCUGAAUUGAGGAAGAGUUAAACCGCCCCCCAGGGCCGUCCGAUUCAGACGCUCCCAGCCGAAGGAUCAGGCAGCUCCCAUGGCAUCACCACGCACCAGUCCAUGGCAGCGCCGCAUAGCACCGACGGCGCUUCAAUGCAACCCCAUCGAAGUUUCAACGGUCCCGGUGCAACUCCAACGGCGCUUCAACGACCUCGCGGCGCUUCAUUGCAGCUCCGGCGGCGCGGGCGAUGCUCCACUGCCGCAACGUGGCCUGGCACCGGCGGUCACCGAUCCCUCGCAGCACCGGUCGCCUUGUAGCGGCUUACGCACCGUGUUGCUUUGCAGCAGACAGCGCCGGCAUGGACGCCCCGUUUCCUCGCAGCAACGACGGAUGCAACCGCCGGCCGUUGCAGCACCGGCGGGUGUUGCCAUCGCAUCAUCGGCAACGCCGAUGGGUGCUGCACAGAAGCGCUGGCGUUGGGCGUUGCGCUAAAGGUGGAGGAAGC